GACGUAGGGCGCGAGCGUUGUCCGGAUUUAUUGGGCGUAAAGAGCUCGUAGGCGGCUUGUCGCGUCGUUCGUGAAAACCCGGGGCUCAACUCCGGGCUUGCGGGCGAUACGGGCAGGCUAGAGUUCGGUAGGGGAGACUGGAAUUCCUGGUGUAGCGGUGAAAUGCGUAGAUAUCUGGAGGAACACCGGUGGCGAAGGCGGCAUCCUGGACCGAUAUUGACGCUGAUGCGCGAAAGCCAGGGGAGCAAACGGG
rnacentral:rRNA from 1 species